GUGUACGUACAAGCAGUGGGAGCACCCUUUUGGGUGUGACCGCGUACCUUUUGUAUAAUGGGUCAGCGACUUCUAUUCUGUAGCAAGGUUACCCGUAUAGGGGAGCCGCAGGGAACCCGAGUCUUAAUUGGGCGUUAAGUUGCAGGGUAUAGACCCGAAACCCGGUGAUCUAGCCAUGGGCAGGUUGAAGGUUGGGUAACACUAACUGGAGGACCGAACCGACUAAUGUUGAAAAA
rnacentral:rRNA from 1 species